UGCAGUCGAGGGGCAGCGCAGUGUAGCAAUACAUGGGCGGCGACCGGCAAACGGGUGCGGAACACGUACGCAACCUUCCUUCAAGCGGGGAAUAGCUUUCGGAAACGAAAAUUAAUACCCCAUAGUAAUAUCUGAGGGCAUCUGAGGAUAUUUAAAGAUUUAUCACUUGAAGAUGGGCGUGCGCCUGAUUAGGUAGUUGGCGGGGUAACGGCCCACCAAGCCUACGAUCAGUAACUGGUGUGAGAGCACGACCAGUCACACGGGCACUGAGACACGGGCCCGACUCCUACGGGAGGCAGCAGUAAGGAAUAUUGGUCAAUGGACGCAAGUCUGAACCAGCCAUGCCGCGUGGAGGAUGAAGGUCCUCUGGAUUGUAAACUUCUUUUAUCGGAGAAGAAACCCCCGAGUUCUCUUGGGGUUGACGGUACCCGAUGAAUAAGCACCGGCUAACUCCGUGCCAGCAGCCGCGGUAAUACGGAGGGUGCAAGCGUUAUCCGGAUUCACUGGGUUUAAAGGGAGCGUAGGUGGGCUGGUAAGUCAGUGGUGAAAUCUCCGGGCUUAACUCGGAAACUGCCGUUGAUACUAUCAGUCUUGAAUAUUGUGGAGGUAAGCGGAAUAUGUCAUGUAGCGGUGAAAUGCUUAGAUAUGACAUAGAACACCGAUAGCGAAGGCAGCUUGCUACACAAUUAUUGACACUGAGGCUCGAAAGCGUGGGGAUCAAACAGGAUUAGAUACCCUGGUAGUCCACGCCCUAAACGAUGGAUACUCGACAUACGCGAUACACAGUGUGUGUCUGAGCGAAAGCAUUAAGUAUCCCACCUGGGAAGUACGACCGCAAGGUUGAAACUC
rnacentral:rRNA from 1 species